rnacentral:rRNA from 1 species
GAUGAACGCUGGCGGCGUGCCUAAUACAUGCAGGUCGAGCGAACGGACGAGAAGCUUGCUUCUCUGAUGUUAGCGGCGGACGGGUGAGUAACACGUGGAUAACCUACCUAUAAGACUGGGAUAACUUCGGGAAACCGGAGCUAAUACCGGAUAAUAUUUUGAACCGCAUGGUUCAAAAGUGAAAGACGGUCUUGCUGUCACUUAUAGAUGGAUCCGCGCUGCAUUAGCUAGUUGGUAAGGUAACGGCUUACCAAGGCAACGAUGCAUAGCCGACCUGAGAGGGUGAUCGGCCACACUGGAACUGAGACACGGUCCAGACUCCUACGGGAGGCAGCAGUAGGGAAUCUUCCGCAAUGGGCGAAAGCCUGACGGAGCAACGCCGCGUGAGUGAUGAAGGUCUUCGGAUCGUAAAACUCUGUUAUUAGGGAAGAACAUAUGUGUAAGUAACAGUGCACAUCUUGACGGUACCUAAUCAGAAAGCCACGGCUAACUACGUG